AAUUUUGGAUGAACCUU
rnacentral:rRNA from 1 species